ACAUCCGAAUUUCAGAUCUUGGUCUAGCUCUGGAAAUCCCAGAAGGGGAGAUGGUUCGAGGAAGAGUUGGUACUGUUGGCUACAUGGCUCCAGAAAUUAUCAGUCAUGAAAAGUAUACAUUUAGUCCUGAUUGGUGGGGACUUGGCUGUCUGAUAUAUGAAAUGAUUGCGGGACAUUCUCCAUUCAGAAAAUAUAAAGAAAAAGUCAACCGGGAGGAAAUGGAAAGAAGAGUGAAGACUGAAACUGAGGAGUACUCUGAGAGGUUUUCAGAGAAUGCCAAGUCCAUCUGCAGCAUGUUACUUACCAAGGAUCCAAGUAAAAGGCUGGGCUGCCAGAGUGAUGGAGCCUCUGCUGUAAAGCAGCACCCAAUAUUCAAGGAUAUUAACUUCAGCAGACUGGAAGCAAAUAUGUUAGACCCACCUUUCUGUCCUGAUAUGAUUGAAUCUGGAUGUUUCAAGGACCUCAAUGAAUAUGAAGAUAAAGGUCUGUCACCACUUGAAAAACACAAGAUAUGUUCCUGUAUUCUUAGACCAAAGAGAAACUUCUUCCAUAGACUCUUCAGAAGAGCGGCCUGCCUGAACAUUGCCCACAGUGAGGAGAGGGAGCCAACAGAACACUGACCAUUCACUGUGCAGACCACAAAGCAAGACCCUGGUGUUAAGAAGGAAUCUGUCACAUACCCAGUGUCUUGUCCUUUCCAUAAAUUGUAAUAAACGGUCUGUAACACUGUU
rnacentral:lncRNA from 1 species